AUUGCUUCGCAGUCUGUUGGCUAAGAUCAAGUGUAAUAUCUGUUCUUAUUAGUUUAAUAUCUUGUAAUAUGGGCAACUACUUUGAAGGUAGCAAUAUACAUUGUUACUUUCC
rnacentral:snRNA from 1 species